rnacentral:rRNA from 1 species
UACGAAGGGUGCAAACGUUGCUCGGAAUUAUUGGGCGUAAAGCGCACGUAGGCGGCAUUGCAAGUCGGAUGUGAAAUCUUAUGGCUUAACCAUAAAAGUGCAUCCGAAACUGCAGUGCUUGAGUACUUAAGAGGAUCGCGGAAUUCCCGGUGUAGAGGUGAAAUUCGUAGAUAUCGGGAGGAACACCAGUGGCGAAGGCGGCUCACUGGCCCGGUACUGACGCUGAGGCACGAAAGCGUGGGGAGCAAACAGG